rnacentral:rRNA from 1 species
GAUGAACGCUGGCGGCGUGCCUAAUACAUGCAAGUCGAGCGAACAGACGAGGAGCUUGCUCCUCUGACGUUAGCGGCGGACGGGUGAGUAACACGUGGAUAACCUACCUAUAAGACUGGGAUAACUUCGGGAAACCGGAGCUAAUACCGGAUAAUAUAUUGAACCGCAUGGUUCAAUAGUGAAAGACGGUUUUGCUGUCACUUAUAGAUGGAUCCGCGCCGCAUUAGCUAGUUGGUAAGGUAACGGCUUACCAAGGCAACGAUGCGUAGCCGACCUGAGAGGGUGAUCGCCCACACUGGAACUGAGACACGGUCCAGACUCCUACGGGAGGCAGCAGUAGGGAAUCUUCCGCAAUGGGCGAAAGCCUGACGGUGCAACGCCGCGUGAGUGAUGAAGGUCUUCGGAUCGUAAAACUCUGUUAUUAGGGAAGAACAAAUGUGUAAGUAACUAUGCACGUCUUGACGGUACCUAAUCAGAAAGCCACGGCUAACUACGUG